AAACAUAUAAACAUAUAAACAUAUAAACAUAUAAACAUAAAUCAAAUGAUCUCAACUGAACAGACAUGUUAUCAUUUUAAUAGAAGGAAAUGGUGUCACAUAUGUUUAUUUAUUUUUCAGAUAGAAUGGCAGAGAUUAUGAAAAAAGAAUAAGAUUCAAGGAAUCUGAGAUAACUUCAACUGUAGAGGAUAAAUGUUUUGUUUAUAUACCUGAAGAUGAUAUAAAGCUGGAAAAUACAGAAAUAAAAGGAUUUCUGAAAAACCUGGAGAAUCCUUGUGAUGAAUGUGAAGAAGUUGGAGCGGAGAAAGAUGAAACUGAAACUACACAUGAAAAUUCCAACUUUCUCCUACAUUUCUAAAAUUCUUGAUUAUUUAUCCUUAUACUAAAGAAUCAAUGUUCUGAAUUAUAUAACCCUAUAUAUUCUUUUAAUCUUAUCAAGCCAUGAGAAAUGUUAAUCAUGAGCUGUUUUAUAUAAAAUUCUUUAUCUUAUUGAGAAUUCAAAAGAAAGAAAGUUUUUAAUUUAAAAAGUAAAGAUUUUAGCUUGUAUAAUAAUGAUUUUAAUUUGGAAAGAAUAAUUUAAACUUAAAAAACUAUAUAUCGUCUUUUUCAGACGAAGAAUGGGUUGAUUAUAUUUAUAACCCGAUUAAGUCUCCAGGUCUCCAUUUUUACGAGAUCUUAGAUUAAGCGUGUUCUCCCUAACUACAACCACCCUAAAAAUCUACCACCUACAACAUCAUCCUACAAUCUUUUACCUAUCACCUUAUCCACAAAUCUUCAUUCGUCGAGUAAAUGAAACUCAGGUGAACCAUGCGAAAUCAUAAAUAGACUUUGAACCUUGAUCCUUGGAAUGUUCAUCGGUAAUAUUAUGCACAUGCAGAUGCCUUAAAUAUAUGUAUUCAGGACCGUCUCAACCCUGAUGUUCAUAUACUCCUCCGUCUGAUAGAGCUGAUGGAGUAAAUACUCUCCACCUGGAGAAGUCUUCUGAUGUCGUCUUCCAUCUUCAGAACUCUUUUAGAUUCCUUUGGCCGUCUUCCACCAUCAUGAUUCUUCUUGAUCAUCAUCCUGAGCAUGAGAAUGUGAGCUUACCUCCUCUGAUCCACAACUCGGAGUACUGAUUGAACUAACCGAGCUGCCUCCGACUGGACAACACAGAUUUCGAGGACUUAUGUUGAGAAGUCAUAUGCUUUAGACGUGUCCUGUUAAGACUCGAAAAGACUCUGAAUGAAGGAUAAGAUAUUCUCUCUCUGAACUGUAGCUCAUAUCAAGACCCCAGCCCGAGCAACUUUGUAAGUGUGUUUCUAAAUUCUGAAUAUUUUACUAAUAUGAUUUUGUAGUGAUUCAAAAACUAAAUUUCUUUAUUGAGACCUGGAGCAAAUUUUUGUAAACAUAUACAUAUAUAUUUUGUUAUAUUAUAAUAAUUUAAUUUCAGUUCACAGUGUGAGAGCUGAAAUUGAGGAUAAACUACUUCAAUAAAGCUUAUAUAAACAUAACACUCGUGUAUUAAUGUGGUGCGCUGGUUAUAAGGGAAUACUCGCCCUGGAUAUGAGUGAGUUUUUGUGUCUUUAAAGUCUCAAAAACAACGUUACAAGUACAAAUUCCAUUGAAGUUUACCCAACUUCUGGGGGAAAAAGGGUUUUUCAAAGAUGGGGGGAUUGAUUUUAUUUAGAAAAUAUACAACCCUUUGAUUUUCCUGCUUAGAUUUUUCCUUGUUCUGCUAACAUUCUUUAUUGUAAUGGUAAAAGCAGAAAUGUUCUGUUUGCAAAAAUUUAUCUUUGCACAUUAUGCUAUAUAAACUACAAAUUAAGCUAAUUUUGCUUGUGGAUUUAUUUUCCUAUAAACAUACAUACUUUUCUCAUUGUAAAUUUGGU